rnacentral:lncRNA from 1 species
AUUGCAACUCUUGCAGAUGUAUUUAUAUAAUCAGCCAAUAGGAAAGCAUUCAUACAUACAUUCAUCACAUGGAUGUUCCAUUGUUCAUAACAAUUCAACAUGAAUUUUAUAACAAUUAUAAAAUAUCAUAACAAACAACUCAUGUUAUUUUCAUUAUGAUAUCAUUCAUACACAUGUCAAUAAAGAUGUUCAAAAUUAUGGACAUAAGACCCAGCU